rnacentral:rRNA from 1 species
UCAGGAUGAACGCUAGCGGGAGGCUUAACACAUGCAAGUCGAGGGGUAAGGUCAAGCUUGCUUGACACACGACCGGCGCACGGGUGAGUAACACGUAUGCAACCUGCCCUGUACAGGAGGAUAGCUUCCGGAAACGGAGAUUAAUACUCCAUGAUGUAUUAUAUAUGCAUGUAUAUAAUAUUAAAGUUCCGGCGGUACAGGAUGGGCAUGCGUCCCAUUAGCUAGUUGGUGAGGUAACGGCUCACCAAGGCAACGAUGGGUAUGGGGUCUAAAAGGAUGGUCCCACACACUGGCACUGAGACACGGGCCAGACUCCUACGGGAGGCAGCAGUGAGGAAUAUUGGUCAAUGGAGGCAACUCUGAACCAGCCAUCCCGCGUGCAGGAUGACAGUCCUAGUGAUUGUAAACUGCUUUUGUUUGCCAAGAACCGCUCCGACGUGUCGGGGCCUGACGGUAGCAAACGAAUAAGCAUCGGCUAACUCCGUGCCAGCAGCCGCGGUAAUACGGAGGAUGCAAGCGUUAUCCGGAUUUAUUAGGUUUGAAGGGUGUGUAGGCGGACUGUUAAGUCAGUGGUGAAAGUCUGUAGCUCAACUAUAGAAUUGCCAUUGAUACCGAUAGUCUUGAGUGCGGUUGAGGUAUGCGGAAUGUGUAAUGUAGCGGUGAAAUGCAUAGAUAUUACACAGAACACCGAUUGCGAAGGCAGCAUACUAAGCCGUUACUGACGCUGAUGCACGAAAGCGUGGGGAGCGAACAGGAUUAGAUACCCUGGUAGUCCACGCUGUAAACGAUGAUCACUCGCUGUUGGCAAUACAUAGUCAGCGGCUGAGCGAAAGCAUUAAGUGAUCCACCUGGGGAAUACGUCGGCAACGAUGAAACUCAAAGGAAUUGACGGGGGCCCGCACAAGCGGUGGAACAUGUGGUUUAAUUCGAUGAUACGCGAGGAACCUUACCUGGGCUUAAAUGUAUAGUGCAUUCAUGAGAAAUCGUGAUUUCCUUCGGGACUCUUUACAAGGUGCUGCAUGGUUGUCGUCAGCUCGUGCCGUGAGGUGUCGGGUUAAGUCCCAUAACGAGCGCAACCCCUAUUGCCAGUUGCCAGCAUGUAAUGAUGGGGACUCUGGUGAGACUGCCGGUGUAAACCGUGAGGAAGGUGGGGAUGACGUCAAAUCAGCACGGCCCUUAUGUCCAGGGCUACACACGUGUUACAAUGGCCGGUACAGAGGGCAGCCACCUGGCAACAGGGCGCUAAUCCUAAAAGCCGGUCUCAGUUCGGAUCGGAGUCUGCAACUCGACUUCGUGAAGCUGGAAUCGCUAGUAAUCGCGCAUCAGCCAUGGCGCGGUGAAUACGUUCCCGGGCCUUGUACACACCGCCCGUCAAGCCAUGGAAGCUGGGGGUGCCUGAAGUUCGUAACCGCGAGGAGCG